GGGUGGAACGGCCAGCGCCGGUGGAAGCACAUGGCCACCACCAUGAUCUGGCCGCGUGUGGUCCAGAGACACUGCAGUGCUCCCUGACAUGAACUCCAGACUAUAUUUCUCGGAAGAACAAGCUCUGAACUCAGUCUCCCUACUCUACUCCACAGUGUUUGGAGAAAAUGCUCCUUUCCCACAGCUAUAUAAAUAUUAACUGAAACAGGUAAGUCAAGCUUUCUUUCUUUAUUUUCAGUUCUUCUUAAAGUGACACACAGACAGUCAAAGAAAGAUGUUGGUGUUUGGCUUUAAAUAUUGUUGUCCAUACCAAGACAAUAAAUCACAGAAUCACAGAAUUAUUAAGGUUGGAAAAGACCUUUAAUAUCACAUCAAGUCCAAACAUCAAACCAGCACUAGCAAUGCAUUUACUACUAAACCAUGUCCUCAAAUGUCACAUCCACAAGUUUUAUUUAACACUUCCAGGGCACUUGGCAGGCUUGAGAGGUAGGCCUGUGCAAAACUCAUUAAGUUCAAAAUGAGCAAGUGUAAGGUUGAGGCAAUUUGGGGUACAUUUGGGUUGGGGCAAUCCCAAGCACAAGCACAGGCUUGGAAGAGAACGGCCUUGACAGUAGCCUUGUGGAGAAGGACUUGAGGAUCUUGGUGGACACCAGCCUCGAUAUCACUGGACUGUGUGCACUCACAGCACAGAAAGCCAACAGUAUCCUGUGCUGCAGCAAAAGCAGCAUAGUUCAAAGGUCAAAGAAGGUGAUUCUGCCCCUCUACUCUGCUCUUUGAGUUCUCACCUGCAGUAACAUGUCCAAUUCUUGGGCUCCCAACAUAGAAGGGACAUGGAUCUGUUGGAACAAGUGCAGAGGAAGGCCAUGAAAAUCAUCAGGGGGCAGAAGCAUCUCAAAGCUUGUCCUCAUCUCAAUUUCACUCACAGUCUCUGUAUUUUCCAAAUCCUUGCUAAGCAAUCAUAUUUAUAAGGCUUUCUCAUUUCAUCUUCCCAACAAUCAAUAUUACCUAUUAUUUCUUUAGCAGUUAUGUCAAUAAAAUUGUAUUUUUGCUGGCAAGCAUCAACAAGAUCAGCUAAUGCCAAAUAUACUUGGUGAUAAUAAACUAUUUUCAAGCAUGGUUUUGAAAAGAAUGUUAACAGUAAAAGCAAGAGAAACUCAGAAUAUAUUUUAUAAAAGUAUGAAACUAAUAAAGAUUAAAGAAAAGUGCAAGAAAGAAGCACAUCCAACCACAGGUAUUUACUAGGCAAAGAUCAGCAAUCCAGCAAUAUAGUUAAGCAAACCUUCCCAAGCUAUGUAUCCCAUUCUCACAAAGCCUGCAAAAUUUCCAAAACAUCAUUCCUUUCAAGAAUGAAAAGGCAACUUUCAAUACAUCCUGUUCUCAACACUAACAAUAGUGGAGGAAGUACAAUACCUCAAAUACAAUACAAAAAGCAGACUAGCAAAAAAUUAAGUAAAUUAGCUUCCGAACCCUCUUCCUCUUCCCAAUACUCUUCUCAACACAAUCCCUAGUUACAUUAAAUACUUCCAAUCCCAUUUACUGCAGGCUGACAGUACUGUAAGUACAAUUCUAAUACUUUUGGCUUUUGUAGCACUCCUGUACCGUUCAAGUAGCAUUUGGUGAGCAGGGAUAAUAAUAAAGCAUCUCUCUUCACUCUUGAAUUCAAUGUGAAGACUGAUGAGAAUAAAUACGCUGUGUCUUCUACUCAGGAAAAUGUAAAAAUGUGUCACAUGUCAUUAUAUUGUUAUGACAUUUUAUGAUCAACAGAAUUUUUUUAGUCGAGCUAGCUAAAUUACUUCUCAAUUGCAUAAACUAUUUAUGAAUUAAAAGCAGCAGCAAGGCUAUGAGAACUAUAUCUACUAUGUUGUUAUAAAUUGUCCCUCAGUAUAACUGAGCUGUCAGCACUAUCUGAGCUUACUGUCUCUGAAGAGAAUUUUUUUCUUUAAUUUGAAGUUUACUUCUCUUCCACUGAAAACUCAGCUUGGGAGGUAAAAUAAGUUGGAAGGGGACAGUUUUCCAAAUUUACCAAACUUGAAAAGGAAAUGCUUCUUUCAUCUUGAUACAUGAGACCACAGAUCUUUUCUCCAAGGAUAUUUCUUCUCUCAAUCUAAAAAAGGACCACAGAUGGACCUGCAUUUUCCCAGUACUGUUAACGCACUACCGAAAACACUCCAUGUUUCAUUGUUUCUUUACUGAUGGCAAAUAUAAUUCCUGAUAGAAGCCCAUGCUUUAUUUUUAUUGGUGAUCCAUGGGCUAGAGAAUAAGCAUAGAUGCUUAAGUUUCUCAUCCCACACCAAAACUCCCUGCUAUGUCAGUAAAAAAAGCAAAGCAGAAUGAACACUUUAUAUUGUAAGUAUGUUUAGUGAUUAUCAUGUAUUACCUAUUACAUUGUCUCUUUCAGUCUUUGUUUGUGGGGGCUUGUCCUGGAGGGGAUAGACCAAGAGCUGGCUACACAGCCACACAGGAGAUAAUACAAGAGAUAGUAUUUCAAAAGAUAUCACAAUAGAUGAUAUCCAGGCAUCUCAUGGUGGGAAGCAAAGGACUCUGGGACCAGUUGGGAGUGGCCAUAUAUAUAUGUGUAGAUAUAUAUAUGUGUGUGUGUGUGUGUGUGUGUGUGUGUGUGUGUGUGUGUCUCAGCCCCAUGCUGUAGUUCAUGUUCAUUUCCUUGACUUAUUUUAUUAAGUUGAUUGUUAAGUGGUUUGUUCUGUUACCUUCCAAGUUGGUUUUUUCCUAAGUUUUAUCCUCCCUUCCAUCUGUCCCUCAAGGGGACAGAUCUCUUUAUGUUGUAUUGUGGUUUUAUGUUUAUGUUACUGUAGGGAUUCUGUAAUGGCUCAUCCCUGUAUCCCUCUCUUUUCCACAAUGAUUUUGUCCCAGGUUACCCCCUCCUCCUUUGAUGUCAAUCACGUGAAAAGUGCUAAGUCAUUCCCCUGUCUCCUCCUUGGUUCCUUAUCCAUCACUCAACUCCCCAUCCCACCUAUCCAGAAGCUUCCACACAGGGCGUCGAGUGAUUGGGUGAGGGCCAGGGGUCCCUCCCUCAGACCUUCCCCACAGGGCAUCAUGCCUGUCUGUUUCCCCAGUGUCCACUCCCUCAAACUACCCCAUUGGUUGGUGGGUGAUCCCUUCCCCUGUUUACAGCCCCCUUUAUAUACUGUUGCACAGCCCUGCUCUCAGCUCUUUGCUGUUAGUUCCCCUGAGGUGCGGAGCUCCUCGGAACCCCAGAAUAAACCUUGGACUCUAACCCCAGCCAAGAGUCAGCCUCUUCUCUCCUCCACGGAUGCCGCCAGCUUCUCCUCCAUCCCAGGGCUGGUGACAGCCCUAGCUGCUCUCCAAGGAACAGGGGAGUGUGUCCUGCAGUCGCCCAUGCCAGCUAGUUGGGCGAAGACCAGCUUCUGGUGGACAUAGUGGUACCUUUAUUCCAGACCCUUCCCUGCCUAUCAAGGCAACCUUGCCCCUUCUUCCAGAACGUUCCCCGUUACUUACUACCUGGACCAAUCCCCAACUGAGACUUUUCUCCUCCCCCUAUCCUGGUUGGUUCCUGCCCCUAAAUUCCACCUCAAGUGUUACACCAUUUACUGUCACUUGAUGUGAUGUCCACCCCCUGUUUUUGGUGCCUUAAAACCAUGUGCACAGAGGUGCUUGGGGCUCUCCUCAUCCUGAUCCCUCCAACUUCAUUAAAGUUUGUUGGAAUUUCACAAGUGGAGAGUCUCUUCUUUUUCUGCUUGGUCCCUGCCCUGCUGCUUAAGAACACUGUCCCUCUGCAUUGCUGGUUCUAAGGUUCUGCCUUUGGCUUCACCCCAGCCAAGGCAGUUCCCCACACUCGCUGCUCCACUGGAGCAAAGCAGAGCUAGUCUGGGUUCCGGUGUACAGUGGCAGCCCCAUUUUGGGUCUUCUGAAGCAGCCUUUUUUUUUUUUUUCUUUUUUCUGGCACCUUUGUUUGUGCCCUUUUAUUUAUUUAAUAAAUAUCUUUAGUUUUGGCGCUUCAAUUGUACCUGUCCUUUUCUUGUAGCCUGCGCCACAUGACCAUGCCAUUGCCAAGCUCCCAGAACCAGUGAGUUUCCCCACACAUCCUGCAGAUCCCUCAGGGGUGUUGUUGCUGGCCCAUCUCCAGCUGAUCCACUGCCAGCGGGGUCAGAGAUCAUCAACAGUCAGACAUGCACCUCAACAUUUGUCAGCCAGGACAAAUAUCCCUUACAUGUAAUCACAAUUUCUAUUUCUUCUCCUGUUGCAUUAUUUUCUUACAUGCACUGUUCUUUUCCCUGAUUUUAUCUCCUUUUGUUCCUCUCCAGCUGUUUCAUCCCAUUCAUUUCCAACAGGCCUGAACACUCACAAUUUGCUCUGUUCUGUUCAUUGAAAUGUAAUCUGUGAUGCAAGUCAUGCUAACCUUUUACAUGCCAUCAGAGAAAUCUUGACACAAGAUGCAACCUAAUGAAAUUUGAUACUCUCCCAGUAA